GUGGAUAGAUGACCUGUCUGAUAAUAUUCACAGUGCCAAGCAAAACGGCUUUUUGCAUCCAUGUAAUGGUAUUAUUUUGCAUUUCUAGAUCUUUGAUAUGCUGGACAGUUUUCUUUAGUACUAGUCCAUUGACACUGAUUAUAAGUGGGAUUAUUUCCACCCUUCUCAACUUCCACAUGUCUCUCAUCUGCCUUGACAGUGGUUCGUACUUCCUUAUCUUCUCUGCAUAGGUUUUCAUCAUAUUUUGAUCUUGCGGAACGGCAAAGUCGAUAAUUACUGCCGUUCUAUUCUUUUUGUCCCAUACCACCAUGUCCGGUCUAUUGUGCUCCGUUCCUAUGUCGGUAAGCAUCGUGAGGUCCCAGUAUAUCUUCGUUUCAUUAUUUUCCAUCACUGCUGCUGGGACGUACAAGUGGUGGGGUGUGAAAUGCUGUAUGAGGUUCUUAUUCAGGCACAGAAGUUGAUGUACCACCUUCCCCAUGUUAUCGUGUCGCGACAGAUAUUUUGUGCUGGCUAUAACUGAGCAUCCCGAUACUAGAUGUUGUGUGGUUUCCUCAGCAUUAUUGCACAGCCGACAUUUCGUGCUUUCUAUCUGUUUUUUCAUGAUAUGCUUGCUGUAAUUUCGGGUUGGCACUACUUGGUCUUGAAUGGCAAAGAUUGUUCCUUCUGUCUGUGGGAAGAGGUAACCCUGGGUCAGGUAGAUAUUGGAAGCAGCCACAUCCACCUCUCCCAUAUGCAGACUUGCAUAGAACCUACCGUGCAAUUGCUUAGUUUGCCAACUCUGUCUAAGCAUUUCUGCUGAGUUUUCUCUGUCCUCUCCGUCUUCGUGUGCCAUACUUUCCUGUGCUGUGACCCAUUGAUGGAUUGGUAUCUUCUAAGGAACUGAGGCCUCGGCCACCCUCCUUCCUAGUUGUAGAUCCGUUCUCGACCAUGUGAGUGCUCCCACAGUGUAUGUGAAUGACGGAAUCGCCCAGAUGUUGAUGGCCAUUAUUUUAUUUUUUGACGACAGUUGUGAUUUCAGUAUAAGCUUAACCCUUCUAAGUAGUUCUGUUUUAGCAUGUUCUUUAUUUUCCUGUUGUCGUAUUUCAAAUGUUUGUUGUAUGCCCAAAUACUUAUAUUUUUCUUCCGUACUUAGAGUAUUUAUUUCUUUUCCAUCUCUCAGCCUCACGUUUUCCUCUUCCACAAUUUUUCCUCUCUUAACUAUAAUCGCCGCGCACUUUUCUAAUCCCA